CGCCGGCCGGCCGGGGUGGUGCGGCUCCGGAGUCGGCUCCCGGUGUCGGUGCCGGCGUCGGUGCUGGUUCCGGUUCCGGUCUCGGGGAGGGCGG
rnacentral:tRNA from 1 species